rnacentral:rRNA from 1 species
CUAACACAAUAUUGUCCGCCAGAGAACUACGAGUGAAAAACUAGAAACUCCAAGGACUUGGCGGUGCUCCAUACCAACCUAGAGGAGCCUGUCCUAUAAUCGAUACCCCACGCUAAACCUUACCAUCUUUCGCCGUCCAGCCUAUAUACCGCCGUCGUCAGCUUACCUUAUGAAAGCAAAAUAGUAAGCAAAACAGUUAACAACUAACACGUCAGGUCAAGGUGUAGCACAUAAGAUGGAAGAGAUGGGCUACAUUUUCUACUACAGAAUACACGAAUGACACAAUGAAACAUGUACCUAAAGGUGGAUUUAGUAGUAAGAUAAAUAAGCAACAUUAUCUUAAACCCGCUCUGGAGCGCGCACACACCGCCCGUCACCCUCAUCACUAUUACAACAUAAAAACAUAUAAAGUUCAAACAUAGCCCAGAUGAGGCAAGUCGUAACAUGGUAAGCGUACUGGAAAGUGCGCUUGGACUCACAAAUAGUAGCUUAAAACAAAGCAUUCAACUUACAAUUGAACAAUGUUAGCUUAAACCCUAACCUCUUUGAGCCAUACCCCUAGCCCAGCCAUCCACACAAACAACCAAAUAAUACAAACAAACCAUUUUUCACAACUAGUAUAUGCGAUAGAAAGUACUACAGGCGCAAUAGAAACAGUA